rnacentral:rRNA from 1 species
GACGUAGGAGGCGAGCGCUAUCCGGAUUCACUGGGUGUAAAGCGCGUGCAGGUGGUCUCGUAAGUUGGACGUGAAAUCUCCUGGCUCAACUGGGAGGGGCCGUUCAAUACUGCGAGGCUAGAGGGCAGGAGAGGGAGGUGGAAUUCCCGGUGUAGUGGUGAAAUGCGUAGAUAUCGGGAGGAACACCAGUGGCGAAAGCGGCCUCCUGGCCUGCUCCUGACACUAAGACGCGAAAGCUAGGGGAGCGAACGGG